UUCCCUGCUUGUCUGAAGCAGCUUUUCGGGAGGCGCCGGGCGAGCGCCAUCCCCUGAGAUCCCCCGGGGUGCGAUCUCCCACUCUUUAUUCUGCGGCAGCUCAGAAGAACCUGGACUCCUGUCAUCUUCGAGUCUUUAAAGAUAUUUCUCCUGCUUUCUAACGGAAAAUGUCGCCGUUGAGAAGUCAGACUCCAGUCUGAUUCCCCCUUACAGUGGGUGAGCCCUUGUCUAAAUGCUGAAGGGUGUGUCUUCCGGAUCUGCAAGUGCAGUCGUUUCCCUGGGAGUCCCUGGGUGCUGACUGGGAGGGGCCGAUGCUCCAGGCGGCUUGCUGUAAAUGCAUACUUCAUUCUUCCUAUCACUGACACCUCCAACACCAUAAGAUCUGCCAGAUUAGAGUCCAGGAGGCAACGAUCUUUACUCGGCUUACACUGCAACGUGGACCUACUGCACAGCCCCUUCCUGGUGCAGCCUCUGCUUAAAGUGGGCACCCUUCCUGACCACCUGAGAUACGGCUUAAAGAAAUACUCCUGGAGUCCACAGGCAAGUUAAACGGACCUAGGAAUGAAACAGCAGUCCUCACCCUUUUGAUCUUUAAGGACAGCCCUGGGGCUGGUGCUGUGGUGCAACAGGUUAAAGCCCCGCCUACAGCGCCGGCAUCCCAUAUGGACGCUGGUUCAAGUCUUGGCUGCUCCACUUCCAAUCCAGCUCUCUACUGUGGCCUGGGAAAGCAGUAGAAGAUGGCCCAAGACCUUGGGCCCCUGCAUCCUCAUGGGAAGACCUGGACGAAGCUCCUGGCUCCUGGCUUCGGAUCAGCUCAGCUCUGGCCAUUGCAGUUAUUUGGGGAGUGAACCGGCAGAUGGAAGACUCUCUCUCUGGUUUUACCUCUCUUUGCAACU